UUCGGGAUGCCGGCGAGUGGCGAACGGGUGCGUAACGCGUGGAAACCUGCCCUGAGAUGGGGGACAACAGCUGGAAACGGCUGCUAAUACCGCAUAAGCCCUACGGGGGAAAGACGCAAGUCGUCUUGGGAGGGGUCCGCGUCGGAUUAGCUUGUUGGCGAGGUAAUGGCUCACCAAGGCGAUGAUCCGUAGCUGGUCUGAGAGGACGAUCAGCCACACUGGGACUGAGACACGGCCCAGACCCCUACGGGAGGCAGCAGUGGGGAAUAUUGCGCAAUGGGGGAAACCCUGACGCAGCGAUACCGCGUGGGUGAAGAAGGUCUUCGGAUUGUAAAGCCCUUUCAGUGGGAAAGAUGAUGACGGUACCCACAGAAGAAGCUCCGGCUAACUCCGUGCCAGCAGCCGCGGUAAUACGGAGGGGGCGAGCGUUGCUCGGAAUUACUGGGCGUAAAGGGCGCGUAGGCUGUUUUGCAAG
rnacentral:rRNA from 1 species